GCUUGGUCCUGACUUUACUGUCAGCUUUGGUUAAAUUUAUACAUGCAAGUAUCCGCACCCCUGUGAGAAUGCCCUACAUAUCCCCCUGCCGGAGAAAAGGAACAGACAUUAGGCACGACCCUAUGAUCAGCCCAAAACGUCUUGCUUGGCCACACCCUCAAGGGAUUUCAGCAGUAAUAAACAUUAAGCAAUAAGUGAAAACUUGACUUAGUUAAGACCAAAAGGGCCGGUUAAACUCGUGCCAGCCACCGCGGUUAUACGAGAGGCCCAAGUUGACAGAUGCCGGCGUAAAAUGUGGUUAUUACAGUAUUACACUAAAGUUAAACACCUUCAAAGCUGUUAUAAGCUCUUGGAGGCAGGAAGCCCGUCCACGAAAGUGACUUUAAAGAUAUGUACCACGAAAGCUAGGGAACAAACUGAGAUUAGAUACCUCACUAUGCCUAGCCCUAAACAAAGGUGCCCACCUUACACCUGCUGCUUGCCCGGGGACUACGAGCCCCAGCUUAAAACCCAAAGGACUUGGCGGUGCUUUAGACCCCCCUAGAGGAGCCUGUUCUAGAACCGAUAACCCCCGUUAAACCUCACCCUCCCUUGUUUUACCCGCCUAUAUACCGCCGUCGUCAGCUCACCCUAUGAAGGACAAACAGUGAGCACAAUUGGCAACACCCAAAACGCCAGGUCGAGGUGUAGCGUACGAGAGGGGAAGAAAUGGGCUACAUUCACUGACACAGUGAAAUACGAAAGAUAGCUUGAAACAACCAUCUGAAGGAGGAUUUAGCAGUAAGGAGGGAAAUAGAGCGUCCCCCUGAAACCGGCCCUGAAGCGCGCACACACCGCCCGUCACUCUCCCCGAAAAAACAGAAAGACCUACAUAAACAAAUAGUAAAAGAAAGGGGAGGCAAGUCGUAACAUGGUAAGUGUACCGGAAGGUGUACUUGGAUAAACC
rnacentral:ncRNA from 1 species